CUCUCCCAAACCGUGCUCGAAGUGCCUGGAUGCCCACUAUGCGCUCCUCUCUGUGCUCGCUUGUCUCACGCUGGUCUAGGUGGGAACCGACACGCUCUCCACGGAACGCAGAAGCCCCUUGCACCGUCUACACCCGCUAACCCUGUUCCUGCCACUUCUCUCUCUGGACUCCUGCGAAUGCCUCUCGCCCUAGGCUCCCUUGUCUUACAUCAGUUGCAGUCAACUAGGACCUGCCUCCAGGUCAUGCACGCCCUCUCAUCAGAAUUUCGUGUUUCUCGGGGCCUUUGCACUACCUCCACUCGGAAUUCACACCAUCCGUUCUGUGUCCCUCGCGGCCUUUGCGCACUGUCCACUCGGAAUUCCAUGUCUCUUGGGACCUUUGCACUCCCUUCAACUCGGAAUUCCGUGUCCCUCGAGGCCUUCGCUCAUCCUCCACUCAGAAUUCCAGGCCCCACACACCCUCUGGGCCUCUGACUCCAACCGGGAAGGCUUUCGAGGGCCUUAUCAGGCAGAGAUGCCCCGGCCUGGCCGCUCUGCUCCCUGCUGAGUGUUCUUAUCACCCAGCUCCACCGGCUCCGCGGCGCUCAGUUGUGCCUUCUCUUGCUAUAAACCCGGCUCAGGACACCAGCAGGGCGGUGGGGGCUCUGUCUUUCCCUGCCCUGCCCAGUGCUCGGUUAGCUCAGGCCCAGCCUACGGCCAGUGCCUUUAACCCUAAAUGCUCCAUGUUACAGCCAAGAAAACUGAGGCACGGGGCAACUUGCUGAGGCCUGCUUCUCACUCAGGACGAUUGCAGCCGAGAAAACCCAGUCCCACACGGGUGAAAGAAAUGACAGCAGCUCCCCUAUGACAACCUCCUGUAGACCAAGUCCUUAGCUCUCUAGCUCUCUCUGCUGUCCCGUUCGACUACUCCUGAGUCACAUAGGAUGGACCAGUUGUGUCCCUGACAUCAGGUAACCCAGGCUAAUACUCCUAAGAAUAUGGGCCAUUCCAGCUCCUGUUAAAACCCAGAAGGGCUCCUCUUGGGGACCACCCUCAACAAUGCGUCUCCAAGUCAGGAUUCACUGAGCACCUAGUAAAUUCUGGAGAGACAACCAAGUCAUACUUCCAGCCCUGACUUCCACCCGGGUGCAGAGGAACCUGAGCUGUGAAGGCUCCCACCCCAGAGUCCAGAGGGAGGGUCCCCUACAUGUCCAGCCCUCUUCUGUAAGGUGGAGGUGAUCUGAACUGCUCUCCCCAGGCUGCAGAGCCAGUUGGGAGCCAGCCAGCCAGCCUCUGAGCCUGGAAUGUGCAGGUGUGACACAAUUGAUGUUCAAGGCCCCGCCCACCUCUGCCCCUUUGUCCACAGGACUCCUAGCCUCCUUUCUGUCUCUCUCCUGUGUCUAUGUGUGUACAUAUUUAUGUGGGUGCACCUGAAUGCGUUGUUUGAGACAGAAUAUCUGACUGGGAACUGGGUCUCACUGGUUUAGGAAGUCUGGCUGGCCAUCCAGCCCCUGGAAUCCUCCCUGUUGCCUGCCCAGCACUAGGCUACCAGCAUAGUUUGUUUGUUUGUUUUGGACUUAUUUAUGUGUGCAGUUGUAUUUCCUGCAUGUAUGUCUCUGCAUACAUGUGCAUGCUUGGUGCCCUCAGAGGUCAAAAGAGGGCAUCAGAUCUCCUGGAACUGAAGUUAAGGAUGGUUGUGAGCUGUUAUGUGGGUGCUGGGUACUGAACCCCAGUUGUGUGAGAACAGCUUGUGCUCUUACCCAUUGAGCCAUGUCGUCAGGCCUGUGUGUUAUGUUUAAACAUGGGUGCUGGGGAUCAGCGUCAGGUGGUCAGGUUCCCGAGGCAAGCAUGCUACCAACACCACCAUUUCCCCAGCUCUCCCCCGCUUACUCUUAGUUCCUUCAGUGGCUUGUAAAUAUCAGCCCAAAGCCUACUCAUCAGAGACGGCUUCAUGUCUAACUUGAUGAAACUGGGGGACCUUACAGGCAUGGUGGUGCAUUCCUGUAAUCCUAGCACUUAGGAGGUAGAAGAAACAAAAGUUCAAGGCCAGCCUGGCCUACAUGAAAACCUGUCUCAAAUAAACCAAAGAAAAGGGCUGGUGGGAGUGCUUAGAAAGUGAAGACACUUGACACACCUCAGCUUGAAGACCUGAGUUGGAAUCCCUGAACCCCUGGAUGAAAAGAACACACUUCCCAGGGUGCAGUGGCUCACACCUUUAAUCCCAGCACUCGGGAGGCAGAAACAGGCAGACCUCUGUAAGUUCGAGGCCAGCCUGGUCUACAAAUCGAGUUCCAGGACAGCCACCGCUACACAGAAAAACCCAUCUCGAAAAAAAAGAAAAAAAGAAAGUAAGAGAAAAGAACAGCUCGGGUGCCAUGGCAACCUCCCCCACAAUGAUAAUAAUUAAUACAACCUAAAUUGAAAGGGAAGACAAUAAGUGUUCUGGUUAUUUGAAGUGGUUUAUUUAUCUCUCUAAAGAGAGUGAUUGUUUAUAAUUUAUUUUUUUUUUAAUUUUGUGUAUUUGUGCAGUUUCACAAAGAGGCCAGAGAGGGCGACAGAUCUGGAACUGGAGUUAAAGGCAAUUGUGAGCCACCAGGUGGGAGCUGGGAACCAAACUCAGAUCCCGUUCAGGAGCUGCCAGUGCUCUUAACCACUGAGCCAUCCCUCUAACGCAGACGUUGGUCCUUCUUGAGCAUCAGUAUAUCUCUGGCACCUAGAGCCAUGCCUCAAAAAGCACCAAGCAGGUGCUGGAUAAAAAGUUAACAUUCAGGUUUGCAAGAUGCUUCAGCGAAUAAAAGGCAUUUGCUGCCAGGCCUGAUGAACUAAAUUCAGUCCCUGAGAGCCUCUUGGUCCAAGUGAAGAACUGACUGCCUCAGGUUGUCCUCUGACCUCCAAGCUACAUACACACAAAAUAAAUACAUGUAGUCAGGCAUGGUAGUGCACACCUUUAAGGCCAGCACUAAGGAGGCAGAGGCAGGUGGAUCUCUGUGAGUUCAAGAACAGCCUGGUCUACAUAGCCAGGGCUAGAUAGUGAGACCUUAUUUCAAAAAUAAAAUAAAUAAAAUAAACAAAGGAAAAGCACUUUUUUAAAAGUUUAAGCAAACUAUUAGGGAAUUCAUUUAUUCAUAAAUCAUGGAUUUAUGAUUAAUAAAAUUUCAUGGAAGGGGCCUGGAGAGAUGGCUCAGUGAUUAAAAAUACUUGUUGCUCUUCCAGAGAACAGGAGUUUGGCUUCUAGCCCCCUUGUUGAACAGCUCACAACCAUCUUUAACUCCAGCUCUGGGGGAUCUGAUACCUCUGGCCUCCUCAGGCACCUGCACUCAUGUACAAAAAUACACACCGAGAAUAAUUAAAAAUAAAUAAGCCUUUAAAAAGAAAAUUUCCUUGAGUCCCUUGAGGCCUUCAACAUCCUUCAGUGCUGGGUUGUUUUGUUUCAAUGACAGCAGUGUUUCCUGGGAGUUUGCCAAUCAGCUGAAGGCUCAGGGCAGCCACCCCCUUUCUUGAUACCCACUUGCCUUGACUAAUUCACGCAGUCCAAACUGUUGCCAAGUCUUCAAGGUCCAAAUCUACGUGGUGCUUACCUCAGAGAGCCCAAGGCCAGGGCGAGGCUUUGGGGUUAAGCUACACUGUCAUUGGAUGAAACACACACAGAGAACAGACAUUAAAGGAUGGACAACCCAAGUGUCCAAGCCUUGGCCUUGCUGAGGGGCAGUCAGGGAGACAGCACAGGAUGAAGUAGGAAGAAAGAGGAAGGUUGAUUCCGGGCGGCAGAGAAGGCCUGUUAGGGGAGGCCCACCCAGGAAAGAUCUGUCCUAGUUUCCUGUCUGUUGCUGUGACAAAACACUGGCUAAAGGCAACAUGGGGAGGAAUUGGUUUCUUUCGGCUUACAAGUUACAGCCCAUCAUCAGGGGAAGCCAAGGCAGGAACUCAGAGCAGGAACCUGGAGGCAGGAACUGAAGCAGAAGCCAAGGAGGGAUGCUGCUUCCUGGCUUGCUCCUCAGAUAACUUUCUUACACAUCCCAGGAUCAUUUGCCCAGCAGUGGCAGCACCACAGUGAGCUGGGCUCUCUCACAUCAACCAUGAAACACACACACACACACACACACACACACACACACACACACACCCUCGUCCUCAGGCCAAUCCAAUGGAGUGAUUUCUCCGUUAAUGCUCCCUCUUUUUGUGUGACUCUAGUUUGUGUCAAGUUGACAAAACUAAUCAGCCUAAGGCCACAGAGAGUUUGAGUUAGUCGGGGGGAGAGGGGGCUCCUUCAGUACAAAGCCUUCCACAAUCAAAACACAGGUAGAAGCCAAGCCUCUCAGUCCAGCUAUUUGGGAGGUUUGAGGCAGCAGGAUCCUAAGAUCAAGGCCAGCCUAAGGUCUAGAAUGAGGUCGAGGCUAGCCACCAGGAAGAGCCCAUUUCUAAAAGGGCAGGUGGCUUAGCAGAGGAGCACUUGCCUGGUAACAUGAACACGGCCCUGGGUUCAUCCCCAGUGCAGAGGAAGAAAGAAAGGCACCAAGGAGCUCUGCCAGGGAUGCCAAAGACCAGGCUGUACACAUUAGUGGGCACCCGAGCUAUAGUGCAGCUCUGACACUGGACCUGGAGGUUGCAUGAGCCCCCAGCUUGGUUCCCAGGUCUGCACCCAGAGAGAGAGUGCACACAGCCACAGCAACUCCUGGGCACAGGUUCUGUUCUCUUGUUCCUCAGCAGCCAGGCCACCUCAGAGCUGAAUGGAUACGUCAAAUGCAGCCUGUGCACAGGAGGGGAUACCGAGGCCCCGAUGCCCUGUGGGUGAAUCCAGAAGUAACCAGUAAGAGAGAGAAGCCCAACACAAGACCAUCACUCCAAGUGUGCAUGAAAGAGGCUUAGUAGCUCCCAGGGCUAAGGGAGGGGUAGAAACUGCGCAGGGAUGAGUUCCCCUACUCUCCCUUCUAUUUUGUCACUGUGCCAAAAGCCACGGAAUCUUACAGUUUAUUUAUUUACCUUGGAGAUGAAAUCUCACUGUGUAGCCCUGGCUGGUCUCGAACUCACAGAAGCAGAGAUCCACCUGCUCUGCCUCCCCGGAGCUUCAAUUAAAGGUAUGUGCCACCACGCCCUCAUAGUACACUUUAAAUAAGUGAGUUUACUAUAUGCAAAUUGUGUAAUAUAUAAUUAUCUAUAACAACGUAUGUAUUAUAUACACAAUGUAUUAUGUAAAAUUAAAUUAUAUCACACACACAUACACACACACACACACACACACACACAUACACAUAUGCUUCUUUUCUUUGGCUCCCUCCUCCCUCAGCAUAAAGACCCAAGUCCUUGCUGCAAUCGGUAAGGUCACCAUGCUUGCCACACUCUGCUGUAGCCAGCCUCACCUGCCUCUCAAGCUGCCAGUUCCUACCUCAGAGCCUUCGCCUGUCAGCACCCUCCAUCUGCUGGAACUCUCUUCUCCCCAGCAGCCUGAAGAAUCUCCAUCCUUGCUCAAACAUCGUAUCAAUGACCACUUGUUUCCUGUCCACAUUUUCAGAUGACAAGCACCCCACAUCCUGGCCAUUUCCUUCCUUCUGCCCAUUUCUCCUUGGACUUAUCUCCACUCAGCAGGGAGCCAAUGGGCUUUUCGGCUUCCCUGACUUCCUUCUUCCUGUGUGGUGAGAAGCUGUUAAACUCUCUACACGGUAGGAAAUGGGGAUACCUGUUGGGGAGCCUUGAAAACACAAUGGGUGAAUCCUGGUCACACACCUGGCAAGGGCUCAGUUGGGCGCAGCUGUCAAUCCCAGGGGUUCCCUGUACAUACCCCACACUCACCAAGGACAGAGGAGAGUCUACACCACUGAGCUGAGAAAUGGGAGUAAAGAGGGGAGGAGCCAGGCAUGAUGAUGGUUCAUGCCUGUAAUCUCAGUGCUGAGGCAGGAGGAUUGUAGCCAGCCUGGGCUAAAAAGUGAGAUCCUGUCUCAAGAAGAGAUAAGGAGAGACCGAACAGUGGUCCUGAAGGAGAUUUAAGGGCAGUGUGUGUGCGUGUGUGCGUGUGUGUGUGCGUGUGUGUGUGCGUGUGUGUGUGUAAAACUUUUAACAUUCCUGGGAACAGAAAGAUGUGAACUAUCUCCAAGAUCCUAAUUGACUCCACAUGGGAAUGACAGUAUUUAGAAAAACAGGGUUGAACAUACUACUAAAAGCCUGGCAAUCUGGUGGCACAUGCCUUUAGUCCCAGCACUCAGGAGGCAGAGGCAGGAGGAUCUCUGUGAGUUCCAGACCAGCCUGGUCUACAGAGUGAGUUCCAGUACAGCCAGGGCUACACAGAGAAACCCUGUCUCACAGACAACAAUAAAAACAAACAACAACAAAACAAACAAAAACAAACAUACUAUUAAACUGGAUGAGGUAACAUAAACUUUUAAUCCCAGCACUGGGGUGGCAGAUGUAAGUGGAUCUCUGUGAGUCAAGGCCAGCCUGGUCUACCUGGUGAAUUCCAGCCAAGAAGACAUGAGACCUUGUCUUUAAAAUAACCAAAGCUAAAACUAAAUGAACAAAUGCCUCUGGUACUCAGUUACAGUCCAAAUCACAGAGACUGGCCUCUGUGUGUCCCUGUGUUCCUCUCUCAGGGACUUCCUUCUUCCUGGGGCUUCCAGCCACACCUCACCUUUGCCCUGGCCUCAGGACCUGUGCUGUCUCCUCUGGGUGAGGCCAGCCCACCAAUGCACCAUCCAGGAGGAAGGUGCCUAUGUCAGGGGAGUUCCUAAGGGCUGCUGAGCCAUACCCACAUGAGACUGAUUCCCAACAAAGAUGGUGGCAGGAAACAAGAGGGUUCUACCUGGCCUUCUUGCCUGGGUAAGGACAGACAUGCUUCAUUUGUUAUAGCAAAGACUGGAAUUAACCUAUUCAUCCACCAACAGAUGAACAGAUAACAACAACAACAACAACAACAACAACAAAAACAUAUCAUUAAAAUGGAAUUCUACCAAGCUAUAAAGAAAAACAAAGUUAGCUGAGUGGUGGGAGCACACAGCAUUAAUUCCGGCACUGGGGAAGCAGAGGCAGGUGGUUCUCUGUGAGUUUAAGGGCAGCCUGGCCUACAUAUUGAGUUACAAGACAUCAAGGGAGGGCUACAUAAUGAGACCCUGCCCCCAUCCCCACCCCAAAAAAAGUGGAGUUGGAGAGAGAGCUCAGUAGUCUAAAAAAAAAAAAAAAAAAAAAAAAAAAAAGUGCUUGCUCUUCUGUUCCCUGUUCUUGCAGAGGACCGUUCUUCAGAUCCCCACAGCUUGCAACUAUCUGUAACUCCAGCUCCAGGGGAUCUGGUGCCCCCUCUGGCCUCUGCAGUUAUGGGUACUGGGUACUGCAGUUAUGUGGUGCCCUGCAAACAGGUGCACACACUUACACACAGGAAGAAAAAGCUCAUUUAACCUUCUCCCAUGGAAUAUGUCAUUAAAGGCAGCCUGAAACCCUCUUCCUGGCCGGGGUUAUGACAGGGCCCCUGCAUACUCCGUUAGAGCUAGUCUGUGUUUCUUGCUGUAGGAUAUGAGUGUGGGCAUUGCUGGUGGCUAUCCUGAAGUAACCCUUCCUCUGCUACAGAGACGAUAAAGAAGGAAUGUAAGAUUUAGUGGCCUUAGGUCAUUUGGGCCUCUGCGAACCAUCCCUUGUUACCUGGAAAGAAACAGAUAGGAAAUCUCAGCUACAAGAACCGGCUGGCCAGGAGGCUAAUACUGGACAGCAAAUCAGUUCCUUGUUCUCUCUCUCUCUCUCUUUCUCUCUUCCUCCCUUUCCUUUUCCCUCUCCCUCUGCCUCUCCAUCUCUCUCUCUCAAAAAGAUUACUUUUAUUCACGUGUAAGACUGCAUGCAUGCAUCUGUAUGUGUGCAUCACAUACGUGAUGUGCCUGAAGAGGGUUGGGAUGCCCUGGACUGGAGUUCUAGAUGGUUGUGAGCCACUACCCGGGUGCUGGGAACUAAACCUAGGUCCUCUGCAAGAGCAGCCAGUGCUUUUAACUGCCAAUCCAUGCUUCCAGUCCCCGGUCUGGUUUCCCUGCAGGAAGAUCUAGCUACAUUCUCACAGAGGCUGCUAAGGACAAGGGGAGAGUUCUCGAAGGGUUUGGAGUAGGUGGAUGACCAACCCCUUCCCCUCCCCCAACAGCUUGCAGCCUCCUGGCCCUCCAGCUUCAGGAUGGACAUGGCCUGGGAGAGCUGAAGUGGACACAGAGGGACAGCAGACAGUGGGCUCUGGCUCCCAACAGUCUAUGGCAUUUUCUCAGUCACCAGAUGAACCCCACAGCCAGUGUUGUCUCCUUCGUUCUCAGACAGACACUGUGACCAUUGUUUCAACUAGUAGGAUGUGGAAGACAUGACACUACACUGUCCCAAGAGACGCAUUCACUCUGGGAACACUCCUUGUUGCAUCUCCAAACUGUGGAGAAGCCACAGCUUGGAGACACCAGGAGUCCCUCCAUGGUCCCUCAGGCCACCAGCUGACUAGUUGGUUUGGUUUGGCCUGGGUAGUUUUGUUUUGAGAGUGAAAGGGUCUCACUCUGUAGCCCAGGUUAGCCUCCACUAAGGAUCCUCCCCGCCUCCGCCUCCACCCCACGUGUGGCAUGACAGUCACCAGCUGUGGGCAUGCUGCCUACUUCGCACUCAGAGGCAGGCCAAGACGCACAGCAUUUGGGCUGAAGGGGUCUGUGGGAGGAGAGGAAGGAAGGCUGCUGGGCGCUCUCAUCUUACUCCCUGCCCUAAGUGUUCUGGGCAGAAAGAGUAGCUGACGUGAAGGCAUAAGGCUGCAGAGAGGUGGGGUGGAGGCAGGUUCCUCCUAAUGAGGCUCUGGAGCCUCUGUGGAGCCAUUUUAUAACCUGGGAGCUAUUUUCUAAGCAACACUGAAGCCUACAAGGACGGAAGAGGAGGUUCAGCACUGUGAGAUAAGAGCGGGAGACUCCAUCUCCCUUGCCCUGGCCCAAAAUGCACCUGGUCAUUUGGGGAAUCUCUCUGGUUCCCAACCACCUGGACUAGGAUAGUGAAUCAUAGCUUGCAGCUGUUCCUGGGAAGAGUUAUCUAGAGCAAGUUAGCCCCUGGCCAUGCGCCUGAGAGAGUAUCUUGAUUAGGUUAACUGAGGUGGAAAGUCCUGCCCUGACUGUGGGCUGCACUGUCUCCUGGGCUUGGGUGGACUGCUAGAGAAAGGGAAUUAGGUACCAGAAGUCACUGCUGUCUGAUGCUUGACCCCUGCCUUAUAGUCCUGGCACCCUCAGGUUGAGUGAGAACAAGUCCUCUUUUCCUUAAGGAAAAACACCUUAAGGUGCUUUUGAUGGGGUGUUUUUUGUUUUUUAAAUCACAGCAACAAGAACUGAAAACAGUCAUUUUUGUUGUUUGGUUUUUGAGACAGUGUCUCUCUACAUAGCCCUGGCUGUCCUCAAACUCAUGGAGAUCUGCCUCCUGAGAGCUGGAGUUAAAGGUGUGCACCACAAUGGCUACUUUCAGUUAGUUAAACUAAACAAGCAGGACACUGUCCUGAGGGAUACAGACAUGGUGACUCACUGAACUCUCAUGUCCCUGUGUCCUAGGCACAUUCCAUUGACAACAAUCACUCCCUAGCUGCUGUGUAGCUAUCUGAGCAGGGAGGCCCUGGGGGUGCUGCUCAGGCAGGACAGGAUACUAGGUCAAAGACUCCGGCCACAGCACCUCCAGUCAGAGGAGACACAGCAAAGCUGUGACCAGAUGACAUAGCUCACUUCCUUUUGUUCUGUUUUGUUUGGUUUUCAGUCUUUCAAGACAGGGUUUCUCUGUAUAACAAGCCCUGGCUGUCCAGGACUUGCUUUGUAGACCAAGCUGGCCUCGAGUUCACAGAGAUCUGCCUGAUUCUGCCACAUCCAGCCCCAGCCUCCCUCUUUUUUCUCUUGUGUCUUGUAUUUCAAGACAGGACCUUGUAGGGGAUGGAGAGAUGGCUCAGUGGUUAAGAGCUCGGUCUGCUCUUCCAGUAGACUCGGGUUCAAUUCCCAGCACCCACAUGGCAGCUCACAACUGUCUGUAACUCCAUCCAGGUCCAGAGGACCCAACACUCUCACACAGACAUACGUACAGGCAAAACAUUGGUCGACAUUAAAAAAGGUAAGACAGGACCUUGUUGUGUACACAGGCUGGCUUUGGAUUCAUGACUCAGCUUCCAGAGUGCUGGGAUUAUAGCAUGUUCUGCAGCUUCCAUACCCUCUUCCUUUCUUGCUGAGGAUUUAUUUACCCCUAUGGUCGUAUAUGCUCAGAUAAACGAGGAACCUAAGGCCCCAAAACAAGAAAAAAAAAUCCUCUUUGUCUAAGUCAACCUAAUACCAUGCCUCACAUGACUGAUUGAGAGGGUAUGUGACCAAGUUCUGGCCAAUAAAAUGUUGGGGGAAUUCUGGGGCAGUUUCUCCUGCUAAUAAAAUAAUAAUAAUACAAAAAAAAGCCUGCAGCUGUCCCCGUGGUACAAGCCUGUAAUCCCAGAACUCUGGGAGGCAGAGGCAGGCAGAUCUCUGGGUUCCAGGCCAGUCUGGCUGGUCUACAAAGAGAGUCCAAGGCUACAGAGAAACCUGUCUUCAAACCAAACAAAAACAAACAGAGCCUGGAAGCCUAGCAUGGUGGCCCAUGACUGUAAAUUCAAUAACUUGGGCAGUGGAGGCAGAAGGCCAUGCCCAGCUAUAUAGCAAGUUUAAGGCCAGCUGGGGAUAUGAUGCUCUUUAAAGGGGCUGUCACAGAAGCACUUCUGGUCCUCUCUUGGAUGCUAGCUUUCUGUAAGGUGCUGAGAAGACAGCAGCCUUCUUGCGAUUGAGAGCUUUGGAAAUCUGAAUCCGUCUGAAACUGGCAUGGCUGGAGCCGCCUCACCUCGGGCCUCUGUCUUCCUCGUUAACAUCCCGUUACUGUGUCUUCACUCCAGGGCAUUUCAAUGGAUAUACGUGGAGGCAGCUGCCAGUUCAGCAGCUUCACCAGCUCAACAGCUCACAGACUGCCUUCCCUGCUCAGCACAGUGCUGGGCUGUGGGGAUCCGUAGGGAGAAUUUGCUUUUCCAGAUGACCAGGUUGGAGAGUGGAAACAGACAACGACAAUCACAAAUAGGCAAAGUGCUUCAGUGCCAGGGUGUAAGCCUUGGGCCUUGAACACACUAACCACUAACCACAGGUAACCACAGGUCUACCACAGAGUCAUAUUCCUGUUUCUACACAGUAAUUCCUGGAAGGUAGAGAGGUGGCUUCAUGGUUAAGAGCACUGGCUGGCUGUUCUUGCAGAGGACCUGAGCUCAAUUCCUAGCACAUGAGGGCUCACAGCUGUCUGUAACUCCCUCUUCUGGCCUCACAUGCACAUACCCACACCCAGGGGCACAUACAAUGAAAAAAAAUCAUAAUUUUAGAUGUGGUGUUCCUAAUACUCCCAGGGAAUGUUUUCCAGGCCCAGACAGGUAUUAGCAUACAGAGAUUUCACAUACAACAUGGCAGAUGAUUGACUGAGAGCUAGUUAUAUCCUCCUGAACACUUCAGAUCAGAAAUGAAACCUACUGUUUUUUUGUCUUUUUUCUUCUGACACAAGGUUUCUUUUUGUGUAUCCUUGGCUGCCCUGGAAUUUGAUCUGUAUAUCGGGCUGGCUUCCAGCUCACAGAGAUCUGUCCACCUCUGCCUCCCAAGUACUGGGAUUAAAAGUGUGUGCCACCACAGCCCCCCAAAAAAUGAUGUCUUAGGGUUUCUAUGACUGUGAUAAAACACCAUGACCAAAGAGCAAGUUGGGGAGGAAAAGUUUUUUUUGGUUUACACUUUCAUAUCACUGUUGCAGGAAGUCAGGACAGGAACUCCAACAGGGCAGGGACCUAGAGGCAGGAGCUGAUGCAGAGGCCAUGGAAGAGUGCUGCUUACUGGCUUGCUCCCUAUGUCUUGAUCCACCUCCCUUCUUACAGCACCCAGGACCACCAGCCCAGCCCACAGUGGGCUGAGCCCUCCCACAUCAAUCACUAAUUGCGAAAAUGCCUUAGAGUUUGCCUAUAACUAGAUCUGACGGGGGCAUUUUUUUUUAACUGCCGUACACUCUUCAUGGAUGACUUUAACUUGUGUCAAGUCGACCUAAAACUCUCCAGCACACCUGCAGACACAGAGAACCAGCGCUAAGAAGGAGGAAUGAGAGGUUCAGCAAACACCUAUAAUUCUAGCCACGUGCCAAGCGUUGAAGCAGGGGGAUCGAGAGUGUGUAGUUAGUCCAGGCUGUAGUGGGAAUAGCCUAAGCCCAGCAUUCAGGAGGCAGAGAAAGAAGGUGUGCUAAAGGCUGGAGGUUAGCCUGAGCUACACAGUGAGACUCCGUUUAAGUAAAUGAAUGAGUUCACUGGAGAGGAAGCCAGUAUGUGAAUCCCCGCUCGCUUUGGCCUGCCCUGUUAGCACUGUUGUAAGCCCCUCAGAACUGCCCAGCUAGUCUGUUUCCAAUUUGUCUAGUUAUUAUUUGUGUGUGCGCUUUGGGUUUUCGUGUGUGAACACUGGCAUGCAUGUGUGACACGUGUGCACACCUGUGGCGGUCAGGAACAGCUUUGGGUGCCAGUCCUCGCCUCCCACCUUGUUUGAGCAGGGCCUUUUCUAUACUGCUUUCUACACCAGGCUACCUGCCCCACAAGUCUCUGCCUCCCAUCACCAUAGGGCAUGCUGGGAUUGCAAACACGCAAGAGCCUGGCUUUAUGUGUGUCCUGGAGGUCUGAACCCAUGAGGCUUGCAAGGCCAGGCCGUUCCCCCUGAAUAACCUCCCCAGUGUCUAGCUUUUCUUGCUACAAUGAUACUCUCUUCCCAACCCGGAAAACCUCCACUCCUGUCCCAGCUGCCUCUUCCCCAGCACCCUAGAGGCUGUGAAGGCCAGAGCUGCCUGCCUCAAAAGAAGAGAGCACCGGGGAACAGCGAGGCCAGAGGAGCACUCUGUGGCCACAGCACACAGAGAAAGCAGCCUAGGAUGAGGACCCACCCUUGUCCUGUGGAGCAGAGUAGCAGGGUUCAGUUUCUCUCCCGAGGCAAGAGCUGUUCCUGGGCACCUGGCUGAGAUACAGGACUGGCGCCAUGUGGAAGCAGGUUCAAAACUUGUCUCUGCAAGCCAAGGACAGCACGCUUUCCCCGCCUGGGUGCAAUGGUAUCUGUCUGGGCGGGAUGAGGUCAGGCCAGGUGGAUCCAUGACGCUUUCACACAGGAUCCGUGGCUAGGCCAUGUUGUUUCCAGCAGGACAGGGGGAUGUGGGAUGCAUCCGCAGCGUGGCUCCCUGAUCCCAGCCUAUGCAGAUGAACAUGGGCUGGUCACGCCAAGAACCUCCUACUGAUACCCGAGUAGACGCUCCCAGGGGAAGCAAUCUGCUCCCUUUGUGGCCUUUUGCAAAGAGAAAAUCUGGUGACAUCCUAUACCAACACCCAAACUUCACACUCCUCUCCCAGCGCCACAUGCAGCCACCCCGGUGUCCUCAGCACACUCUGCCCCUGCCUCAAAUACCCCUCCUCUGAAACGACCUCAGGGUUUCCACGGCAGCCUCUCCAAGCUUCAGCUCCGGCCUGCCUGAAACCACAGCUGUGGCUGCUGGGCCUCCUAUUUCACUUCAGCAUAACCUGAGCCGCUUGCUUUUUCACAGGUCUCAAUAGAAGGGAGCCGGGGAGAGAAAACAAGCUGAGGAAGGAAGGGCCUGGCAAGGCUCUGUGAACCCAUGGUAUCUGAUUUGCCGUCUGAGAGACAAGAAGGAACGGAGCUGAUGCAAUCCCUGGGGCCCUCCAUGUUUUGCCAGCCCUCUGAAAACUCCAGGGUCUAGGCUCUGACACAAGUCCCAAGUGUCAUUCUGAAACCCUCUUGAGUGGCUUUGGUUCCCUCCUCAGCCAGGCCAUGGUGCCACUCAGCCAUUCACCUACACCGGGGCCAGACGUCAACCUCAUCUCUGCUACACACAGGGCAGUGGGUGUUUCCAGAUACCUUAUGUUAGUGUUGUAAUGCAAGCUGUAAAACCAGCAAAUAAGAAGCAAUAGAAGAGGAACUAAGGCAGACAGCCAGCUCACGCUACUCAGACCAGGCCGCCGUGAUAGCCUCAAACUCACACCCUACAAGAGGAGCGUCCUUUUUUUUAAAUUGUGAUUCCUUUUUAAAACGUUUUAAUAAAUCCACAUGUUAUUAUCUGUGCAUGA